GUGCUGGACCUGAGCUACAAUCAUCCAGGAGACUCAGGAGUGAAGCUGCUGUCAGCUGGACUUAAGGAUCCAAACUGGAGACUGGACACUCUCAGGACAGACCAUGGUGGACUGCAGAGACUGAGAGCUGGUGUGAGGAAGUAUGUCUGUGAACUGGAACUGGACACAAACACAG